AGCGAACGCUGGCGGCGUGCCUAACACAUGCAAGUCGAACGUGAACGGGGGCAACUCCUAGUAAAGUGGCGUACGGGUGAGUAACACGUAGGUAAUCUACCUGAGAGUCUGGAAUAACCUGCCGAAAGGCGGGCUAAUACUGGAUAGAGCGACGGAAGCCGUAAUUGGUUUUUUCGGGAAAGGGAGCUCGCAAGGGCCCUUGCUCUCAGAUGGGCCUGCGUCCCAUCAGCUAGUUGGUAAGGUAACGGCUUACCAAGGCGAUGACGGGUA
rnacentral:rRNA from 1 species